AUUAAUUGCUGUUAAUGGGGUUCCUACUCCUGACAUGCCUGGCAACCCUGCUCUUAAUGAGUGGGGUGGCACCAGGAGGCAAACCAACAACAGUAACAGCAACUACAGCCCCAAAAACUAAAACACAAACUACCACAACUACU